AUCGCUUCUCGGCCUUUUGGCUAAGAUCAAGUGUAGAAUCUGUUCUUAUCAGUUUAAUAAAUCAUUUGCUUAAAAUUUUAAUAAGCUGCUUGUUUUUUCAUUAAUUGAUUAUGGAACUUUA
ensembl:snRNA U2 U2 spliceosomal RNA